rnacentral:lncRNA from 1 species
AUGACUUUCCCUGAUCCCCCCCCCCUGUCAUCCAUCCAUCCCUUCAUCACCCUAUCAUCCAUCCAUCCCUUCAUCACCCUAUCAUCCAUCCAUCCCUUCAUCCCCUAUCAUCCAUCCAUCCCUUCAUCCCCUAUCAUCCAUCCAUCCCUUCAUCACCCUAUCAUCCAUCCAUCCCUUCAUCACCCUAUCAUCCAUCCAUCCCUUCAUCACCCUAUCAUCCAUCCAUCCCUUCAUACCCUAUCAUCCAUCCAUCCCUUCAUCACCCUAUCAUCCAUCCAUCCCUUCAUCACCCUAUCAUCCAUCCAUCCCUUCAUCACCCUAUCAUCCAUCCAUCCCUUCAUCCCCUAUCAUCCAUCCAUCCCUUCAUCCCCUAUCAUCCAUCCAUCCCUUCAUCCCCUAUCAUCCAUCCAUCCCUUCAUCCCCUAUCAUCCAUCCAUCCCUUCAUCCCCUAUCAUCCAUCCAUCCCUUCAUCCCCUAUCAUCCAUCCAUCCCUUCAUCCCCUAUCAUCCAUCCAUCCCUUCAUCACCCUAUCAUCCAUCCAUCCCUUCAUCACCCUAUCAUCUAUCCCUUCAUCUCCAUAUCAUCCAUCCCUUCAUCUCCAUAUCAUCCAUCCCUUCAUCUCCAUAUCAUCCAUCCUUUCAUCACCCUAUCAUCCAUCCCUUCAUCACCCUAUCAUCCAUCCCUUCAUCUCCCUAUCAUCCAUCCAUCCCUUCAUCACCCUAUCAUCUAUCCAUCCCUUCAUCCCCUAUCAUCCAUCCAUCCCUUCAUCCCCUAUCAUCCAUCCAUCCCUUCAUCCCCUAUCAUCCAUCCAUCCCUUCAUCCCCUAUCAUCCAUCCAUCCCUUCAUCCCCUAUCAUCCAUCCAUCCCUUCAUCCCCUAUCAUCCAUCCAUCCCUUCAUCACCCUAUCAUCCAUCCAUCCCUUCAUCACCCUAUCAUCCAUCCAUCCCUUCAUCACCCUAUCAUCCAUCCAUCCCUUCAUCACCCUAUCAUCCAUCCAUCCCUUCAUCACCCUAUCAUCCAUCCAUCCCUUCAUCACCCUAUCAUCCAUCCAUCCCUUCAUCACCCUAUCAUCUAUCCCUUCAUCUCCAUAUCAUCCAUCCCUUCAUCUCCAUAUCAUCCAUCCUUUCAUCACCCUAUCAUCCAUCCCUUCAUCACCCUAUCAUCCAUCCCUUCAUCACCCUAUCAUCCAUCCCUUCAUCUCCCUAUCAUCCAUCCAUCCCUUCAUCACCCUAUCAUCCAUCCAUCCCUUCAUCCCCUGUCAUCCAUCCAUCCAUCCCUUCAUCACCCUAUCAUCCAUCCAUCCCUUCAUCACCCUAUCAUCCAUCCAUCCCUUCAUCCCCCAUCAUCCAUCCAUCCCUUCAUCCCCUAUCAUCCAUCCAUCCCUUCAUCAUCCAUCCCUUCAUCAUCCAUCCCUUCAUCACCCUAUCAUCCAUCCCUUCAUCACAUAUCAUCCAUCCAUCCCUUCAUCACAUAUCAUCCAUCCAUCCCUUCAUCACCCUAUCAUCCAUCCAUCCCUUCAUCACCCUAUCAUCUAUCCCUUCAUCUCCAUAUCAUCCAUCCCUUCAUCUCCAUAUCAUCCAUCCUUUCAUCACCCUAUCAUCCAUCCCUUCAUCACCCUAUCAUCCAUCCCUUCAUCACCCUAUCAUCCAUCCCUUCAUCUCCCUAUCAUCCAUCCAUCCCUUCAUCACCCUAUCAUCCAUCCAUCCCUUCAUCCCCUGUCAUCCAUCCAUCCAUCCCUUCAUCACCCUAUCAUCCAUCCAUCCCUUCAUCACCCUAUCAUCCAUCCAUCCCUUCAUCACCCUAUCAUCCAUCCAUCCCUUCAUCCCCUAUCAUCCAUCCAUCCCUUCAUCAUCCAUCCCUUCAUCAUCCAUCCCUUCAUCACCCUAUCAUCCAUCCCUUCAUCACCUAUCAUCCAUCCCUUCAUCACAUAUCAUCCAUCCCUUCAUCACCCUAUCAUCCAUCCCUUCAUCACAUAUCAUCCAUCCCUUCAUCACAUAUCAUCCAUCCCUUCAUCUCCCUAUCAUCCAUCCCUUCAUCUCCCUAUCAUCCAUCCCUUCAUCUCCCUAUCAUCCAUCCCUUCAUCUCCCUAUCAUCCAUCCCUUCAUCUCCAUAUCAUCCAUCCCAUCCCUUCAUCCCCUAUCAUCCAUCCAUCCCCUAUCAUCCAUCCAUCCCCUAUCAUCCAUCCAUCCCUUCAUCCCCUAUCAUCCAUCCAUCCCUUCAUCCCCUAUCAUCCAUCCAUCCCUUCAUCCCCUAUCAUCCAUCCAUCCCUUCAUCCCCUAUCAUCCAUCCAUCCCUUCAUCCCCUAUCAUCCAUCCAUCCCUUCAUCCCCUAUCAUCCAUCCAUCCCUUCAUCCCCCUAUCCAGCUCUGCUGGCUGUCUGGCUGUACAAACCACAGCUGAUAAGACCUGUUUUGUUUUUCAUCAUUUGCUGGGCAUCUGCAUUGUCAGGACUUUUUAA